rnacentral:rRNA from 1 species
UACGGGGGGGGCAAGCGUUGUUCGGAAUUACUGGGCGUAAAGGGUGCGUAGGCGGCCGUGCAAGUCUGGCGUGAAAGCCCCGGGCUCAGCCCGGGAAGUGCGCUCGAAACUGCGCGGCUCGAGUGCCGGAGGGGAGAGUGGAAUUCCUGGUGUAGCGGUGAAAUGCGUAGAUAUCAGGAGGAAUACCGGUGGCGAAAGCGACUCUCUGGACGGCAACUGACGCUGAGGCACGAAAGCGUGGGGAGCAAACAGG